rnacentral:rRNA from 2 species
UUAAGUUAUUAAGGGCGCACGGUGGAUGCCUUGGCACUAGAAGCCGAUGAAGGACGUUACUAACGACGAUAUGCUUUGGGGAGCUGUAAGUAAGCUUUGAUCCAGAGAUUUCCGAAUGGGGAAACCUAGCAUGAGUUAUGUCAUGUUAUCGAUAUGUGAAUACAUAGCAUAUCAGAAGGCACACCCGGAGAACUGAAACAUCUUAGUACCCGGAGGAAGAGAAAGAAAAUUCGAUUCCCUUAGUAGCGGCGAGCGAAACGGGAAGAGCCCAAACCAACAAGCUUGCUUGUUGGGGUUGUAGGACACUCUAUACGGAGUUACAAAGGACGACAUUAGACGAAUCAUCUGGAAAGAUGAAUCAAAGAAGGUAAUAAUCCUGUAGUCGAAAAUGUUGUCUCUCUUGAGUGGAUCCUGAGUACGACGGAGCACGUGAAAUUCCGUCGGAAUCUGGGAGGACCAUCUCCUAAGGCUAAAUACUCUCUAGUGACCGAUAGUGAACCAGUACCGUGAGGGAAAGGUGAAAAGCACCCCGGAAGGGGAGUGAAAUAGAACCUGAAACCGUGUGCUUACAAGUAGUCAGAGCCCGUUAAUGGGUGAUGGCGUGCCUUUUGUAGAAUGAACCGGCGAGUUACGAUUUGAUGCAAGGUUAAGCAGUAAAUGUGGAGCCGUAGCGAAAGCGAGUCUGAAUAGGGCGUUUAGUAUUUGGUCGUAGACCCGAAACCAGGUGAUCUACCCUUGGUCAGGUUGAAGUUCAGGUAACACUGAAUGGAGGACCGAACCGACUUACGUUGAAAAGUGAGCGGAUGAACUGAGGGUAGCGGAGAAAUUCCAAUCGAACCUGGAGAUAGCUGGUUCUCUCCGAAAUAGCUUUAGGGAUAGCCUCAAGUGAUGAUUAUUGGAGGUAGAGCACUGUUUGGACGAGGGGCCCCUCUCGGGUUACCGAAUUCAGACAAACUCCGAAUGCCAAUUAAUUUAACUUGGGAGUCAGAACAUGGGUGAUAAGGUCCGUGUUCGAAAGGGAAACAGCCCAGACCACCAGCUAAGGUCCCAAAAUAUAUGUUAAGUGGAAAAGGAUGUGGCGUUGCCCAGACAACUAGGAUGUUGGCUUAGAAGCAGCCAUCAUUUAAAGAGUGCGUAAUAGCUCACUAGUCGAGUGACACUGCGCCGAAAAUGUACCGGGGCUAAACAUAUUACCGAAGCUGUGGAUUGUCCUUUGGACAAUGGUAGGAGAGCGUUCUAAGGGCGUUGAAGCAUGAUCGUAAGGACAUGUGGAGCGCUUAGAAGUGAGAAUGCCGGUGUGAGUAGCGAAAGACGGGUGAGAAUCCCGUCCACCGAUUGACUAAGGUUUCCAGAGGAAGGCUCGUCCGCUCUGGGUUAGUCGGGUCCUAAGCUGAGGCCGACAGGCGUAGGCGAUGGAUAACAGGUUGAUAUUCCUGUACCACCUAUAAUCGUUUUAAUCGAUGGGGGGACGCAGUAGGAUAGGCGAAGCGUGCGAUUGGAUUGCACGUCUAAGCAGUAAGGCUGAGUAUUAGGCAAAUCCGGUACUCGUUAAGGCUGAGCUGUGAUGGGGAGAAGACAUUGAGUCUUCGAGUCGUUGAUUUCACACUGCCGAGAAAAGCCUCUAGAUAGAAAAUAGGUGCCCGUACCGCAAACCGACACAGGUAGUCAAGAUGAGAAUUCUAAGGUGAGCGAGCGAACUCUCGUUAAGGAACUCGGCAAAAUGACCCCGUAACUUCGGGAGAAGGGGUGCUCUUUAGGGUUAACGCCCAGAAGAGCCGCAGUGAAUAGGCCCAAGCGACUGUUUAUCAAAAACACAGGUCUCUGCUAAACCGUAAGGUGAUGUAUAGGGGCUGACGCCUGCCCGGUGCUGGAAGGUUAAGAGGAGUGGUUAGCUUCUGCGAAGCUACGAAUCGAAGCCCCAGUAAACGGCGGCCGUAACUAUAACGGUCCUAAGGUAGCGAAAUUCCUUGUCGGGUAAGUUCCGACCCGCACGAAAGGCGUAACGAUUUGGGCACUGUCUCAACGAGAGACUCGGUGAAAUCAUAGUACCUGUGAAGAUGCAGGUUACCCGCGACAGGACGGAAAGACCCCGUGGAGCUUUACUGUAGCCUGAUAUUGAAAUUCGGCACAGCUUGUACAGGAUAGGUAGGAGCCUUUGAAACGUGAGCGCUAGCUUACGUGGAGGCGCUGGUGGGAUACUACCCUAGCUGUGUUGGCUUUCUAACCCGCACCACUUAUCGUGGUGGGAGACAGUGUCAAGCGGGCAGUUUGACUGGGGCGGUCGCCUCCUAAAAGGUAACGGAGGCGCUCAAAGGUUCCCUCAGAAUGGUUGGAAAUCAUUCAUAGAGUGUAAAGGCAUAAGGGAGCUUGACUGCGAGACCUACAAGUCGAGCAGGGUCGAAAGACGGACUUAGUGAUCCGGUGGUUCCGCAUGGAAGGGCCAUCGCUCAACGGAUAAAAGCUACCCCGGGGAUAACAGGCUUAUCUCCCCCAAGAGUUCACAUCGACGGGGAGGUUUGGCACCUCGAUGUCGGCUCAUCGCAUCCUGGGGCUGUAGUCGGUCCCAAGGGUUGGGCUGUUCGCCCAUUAAAGCGGUACGCGAGCUGGGUUCAGAACGUCGUGAGACAGUUCGGUCCCUAUCCGUCGUGGGCGUAGGAAAUUUGAGAGGAGCUGUCCUUAGUACGAGAGGACCGGGAUGGACAUACCUCUGGUGUACCAGUUGUCGUGCCAACGGCAUAGCUGGGUAGCUAUGUGUGGACGGGAUAAGUGCUGAAAGCAUCUAAGCAUGAAGCCCCCCUCAAGAUGAGAUUUCCCAACUUCGGUUAUAAGAUCCCUCAAAGAUGAUGAGGUUAAUAGGUUCGAGGUGGAAGCAUGGUGACAUGUGGAGCUGACGAAUACUAAUCGAUCGAAGACUUAAUCAA